UAUUGUUGUUGUUGUUGUUGAGCUGGUGGACAAAGACUUAAAAAGCAGGUGUUAAACAAAUAUUCUUUUGUAACCCAGAAUCCACUGUUCUGUUUGCGUUCUGGUAGAUACAAGAAGGAAUACU